GAUGAACGCUGACAGAAUGCUUAACACAUGCAAGUCAACUGUGGCGGACGGGCGAGUAACGCGUAAAGAACUUGCCUCACGGAUAGGGACAACAUUUGGAAACGAAUGCUAAUACCUGAUACUGUGAGAGAGCUUGGCGUCCCAUUAGCUAGUUGGAGAGGUAACGGCUCACCAAGGCGAGGAUGGGUAGCCGGCCUGAGAGGGGGAUCGGCCACAAGGGGACUGGGACGCGGCCCUUGCUCCUACGGGAGGCAGCAGUGAGGAAUGUUGGACCAAGGACCAAAGUCUGAUCCAGCAAUUCUGUGUUCACGAUGAAGUUUUCGGAAUGUAGCGUGCUUUCAGUUGAGAAGCGGUACCAGCAGAAGAAGCGACGGCUAAAUACGUGCCAGCAGCCGCGGUAAUUC
rnacentral:rRNA from 1 species